ensembl:ncRNA asRNA:CR45210 antisense RNA:CR45210
CUUAAUCACUUGACUUUAAGAUACUUCGAGUAUUCAGUGUCCCUACCAAAAAGCACUGCUGCUGGGGCAUCUUACCUGCCAGAAUGGUGAGUAGCAGCCGGAGUGCCUCCACGGGAACGCCCACUCCCGAGGCGAUCCCGUCCAUCAGGCCAUUGUGGGGCAAGUCCUCCUCGAAUUCCGCCAUGCUAAAUCUAGAAGAGAAAAGAGUUGCAGUGCUAUCAGUGAACUCUACUCGCGUGAUUCGGAUUCGCUGGGUUAUUGCGCUCCAGUCCUUAUCACGCCGUAAUUGUUGCUGUUGUCAUUGGCGCAUAUUACGCAAACUGAUUGUUUUUUGAUCAUCAAAGGAGUGCGUCAAGGGGCAAGGGGGAGGCUGAUUAAGAAAAGAGGAAGAGCAACAGCAACAACAAACGAGUGCACUUGGUCAGGGUCAAUGAAAAUUCAAAUGCAAAGGUCGCAUUAUCUCGGCGAACCAGUGAACUCGAUAAUGACGCACUUGCCACCGCACGAACUUGAAUAUUUUAUGCUUAUUGAUUUCACGGCCAGUUGAUGAAAGCGAGCGGGAGCAACAAAAUCGAGAGCGGCAUGCCAAAUUAUGGCCAAAAUUACCUAAAGUUAAGUUACUAACACUGGAGCAGUGUGGCCGUAGGCGAGAGCACGGAAAUUACCCGACUCUAACAGUAAUAGGCACACGGAUUAACCCACUGUUUCUAACAUUUAAAAGUAGUACUUAGGAUCCACAUAUAACCAUAUAUGUUUUUACUAUCUACUAAAAACAUGCUUUAUUUAUAUUUGAUUAAAUUUGUUUGCAUAUUAAAACGAACUGCUAAUAACAGUAUUUUAUGCAUUGUUAUUAAAU